rnacentral:rRNA from 1 species
UAGAUACCCUAGUAGUCCACGCCCUAAACGUUGCACACUCGUCAUUGGAAGUAUCGACCCUUUCAGUGGCCAAGCUAACG